rnacentral:rRNA from 1 species
AGUGAACGCUGGCGGCAGGCCUAACACAUGCAAGUCGAGCGGCAGCGCGGGGGCAACCCUGGCGGCGAGCGGCGGACGGGUGAGGAAUUCGUCGGAAUCUGCCUUUUUGUGGGGGAUAACGUAGGGAAACUUACGCUAAUACCGCAUACGUCCUACGGGAGAAAGUGGGGGACCGCAAGGCCUCACGCAGAAAGAUGAGCCGACGACCGAUUAGCUAGUUGGUGGGGUAAAGGCCCACCAAGGCGACGAUCGGUAGCUGGUCUGAGAGGAUGAUCAGCCACAAUGGGGGCUGAGAACCGCCCCGAGUCCCAAGGGGGGGAAGAAGGGGGAAAAUUGGGAAAAGGGGGCAAACCUGGACCCAGCCUUCCGGGGGGUGGGAAGAAGGCCUCGGGGUUUAAAAACCUUUUGGUCGGGAAAAAAACCCCUGGAGCUAAAACCCGGGGGGGAUGGGGGAACCGAAAAAAAAAGCCCCGCUAACUUGGUG